GGGCCCUUAGCUCAGUAGGUUAGAGCGUGCCCCUGAUAAGGGCAAGGUCCGAGGUUCGACUCCUCGAGGGCCCA
rnacentral:tRNA from 1 species